AUACGUAGGUGGCAAGCGUUAUCCGGAAUUACUGGGCGUAAAGCGCACGCAGGCGGCCAGUCAAGUCUGACGUGAAAGCUCCUGGCUUAACUGGGAGAGGUCGUUGGAAACUGAUUGGCUUGAGGCAAUGAGAGGGACACGGAAUUCCCGGUGUAGUGGUGGAAUGCGUAGAUAUCGGGAGGAACACCAGUGGCGAAAGCGGUGUCCUAGCAUUGACCUGACGCUCAUGUGCGAAAGCGUGGGGAGCGAACGGGAUUAGAAACCCCGGUAGUCC
rnacentral:rRNA from 1 species